rnacentral:rRNA from 1 species
GGCUUAACACAUGCAAGUCGAGGGGCAGCAUGGUCUUAGCUUGCUAAGGCCGAUGGCGACCGGCGCACGGGUGAGUAACACGUAUCCAACCUGCCGUCUACUCUUGGACAGCCUUCUGAAAGGAAGAUUAAUACAAGAUGGCAUCAUGAGUCCACAUGUUCACAUGAUUAAAGGUAUUCCGGUAGACGAUGGGGAUGCGUUCCAUUAGAUAGUAGGCGGGGUAACGGCCCACCUAGUCUUCGAUGGAUAGGGGUUCUGAGAGGAAGGUCCCCCACAUUGGAACUGAGACACGGUCCAAACUCCUACGGGAGGCAGCAGUGAGGAAUAUUGGUCAAUGGGCGAGAGCCUGAACCAGCCAAGUAGCGUGAAGGAUGACUGCCCUAUGGGUUGUAAACUUCUUUUAUAAAGGAAUAAAGUCGGGUAUGGAUACCCGUUUGCAUGUACUUUAUGAAUAAGGAUCGGCUAACUCCGUGCCAGCAGCCGCGGUAAUACGGAGGAUCCGAGCGUUAUCCGGAUUUAUUGGGUUUAAAGGGAGCGUAGAUGGAUGUUUAAGUCAGUUGUGAAAGUUUGCGGCUCAACCGUAAAAUUGCAGUUGAUACUGGAUAUCUUGAGUGCAGUUGAGGCAGGCGGAAUUCGUGGUGUAGCGGUGAAAUGCUUAGAUAUCACGAAGAACUCCGAUUGCGAAGGCAGCCUGCUAAGCUGCAACUGACAUUGAGGCUCGAAAGUGUGGGUAUCAAACAGGAUUAGAUACCCUGGUAGUCCACACGGUAAACGAUGAAUACUCGCUGUUUGCGAUAUACAGCAAGCGGCCAAGCGAAAGCGUUAAGUAUUCCACCUGGGGAGUACGCCGGCAACGGUGAAACUCAAAGGAAUUGACGGGGGCCCGCACAAGCGGAGGAACAUGUGGUUUAAUUCGAUGAUACGCGAGGAACCUUACCCGGGCUUAAAUUGCAGAUGAAUUACGGUGAAAGCCGUAAGCCGCAAGGCAUCUGUGAAGGUGCUGCAUGGUUGUCGUCAGCUCGUGCCGUGAGGUGUCGGCUUAAGUGCCAUAACGAGCGCAACCCUUGUUGUCAGUUACUAACAGGUUCCGCUGAGGACUCUGACAAGACUGCCAUCGUAAGAUGUGAGGAAGGUGGGGAUGACGUCAAAUCAGCACGGCCCUUACGUCCGGGGCUACACACGUGUUACAAUGGGGGGUACAGAGGGCCGCUACCACGCGAGUGGAUGCCAAUCCCAAAAACCUCUCUCAGUUCGGACUGGAGUCUGCAACCCGACUCCACGAAGCUGGAUUCGCUAGUAAUCGCGCAUCAGCCACGGCGCGGUGAAUACGUUCCCGGGCCUUGUACACACCGCCCGUCAAGCCAUGGGAGCCGGGGGUACCUGAAGUGCGUAACCGCGAGGAGCGCCCUAGGGUAAAACUGGUGACUGGGGCUAAGUAG